rnacentral:rRNA from 1 species
UGGGGGAUAUUGCACAAUGGGGGAAACCCUGAUGCAGCGACGCCGCGUGGAGGAAGAAGGUUUUCGGAUUGUAAACUCCUGUCGUUAGGGACGAUAAUGACGGUACCUAACAAGAAAGCACCGGCUAACUACGUGCCAGCAGCCGCGGUAAAACGUAGGGUGCAAGCGUUGUCCGGAAUUACUGGGUGUAAAGGGAGCGCAGGCGGACCGGCAAGUUGGAAGUGAAAACUAUGGGCUCAACCCAUAAAUUGCUUUCAAAACUGCUGGCCUUGAGUAGUGCAGAGGUAGGUGGAAUUCCCGGUGUAGCGGUGGAAUGCGUAGAUAUCGGGAGGAACACCAGUGGCGAAGGCGACCUACUGGGCACCAACUGACGCUGAGGCUCGAAAGCAUGGGUAGCAAACAGGAUUAGAUACCCUGGUAGUCCAUGCCGUAAACGAUGAUUACUAGGUGUUGGAGGAUUGACCCCUUCAGUGCCGCAGUUAACACAAUAAGUAAUCCACCUAGGGAGUACGACCGCAAGGUUGAAACUCAAAGGAAUUGACGGGGGCCCGCACAAGCAGUGGAGUAUGUGGUUUAAUUCGAAGCAACGCGAAGAACCUUACCAGGUCUUGACAUCCGAUGCAUAGCUUAGAGAUAAGUGAAGUCCUUCGGGACAUCGAGACAGGUGGUGCAUGGUUGUCGUCAGCUCGUGUCGUGAGAUGUUGGGUUAAGUCCCGCAACGAGCGCAACCCUUAUUGCCAGUUACUACGUAAGAGGACUCUGGCGAGACUGCCGUUGACAAAACGGAGGAAGGUGGGGAUGACGUCAAAUCAUCAUGCCCCUUAUGACCUGGGCUACACACGUACUACAAUGGAUGUUAACAGAGGGAAGCAAGACAGCGAUGUGGAGCAAACCCCUAAAAACAUUCUCAGUUCAGAUUGCAGGCUGCAACCCGCCUGCAUGAAGAUGGAAUUGCUAGUAAUCGCGGAUCAGCAUGCCGCGGUGAAUACGUUCCC